AGUGAACGCUGGCGGUAGGCCUAACACAUGCGAGUCGAACGGCAGCACAGUAAGAGCUUGCUCUUACGGGUGGCGAGUGGCGGACGGGUGAGGAAUACAUCGGAAUCUACUUUUUCGUGGGGGAUAACGUAGGGAAACUUACGCUAAUACCGCAUACGACCUACGGGUGAAAGCAGGGGAUCUUCGGACCUUGCGCGAUUGAAUGAGCCGAUGUCGGAUUAGCUAGUUGGCGGGGUAAAGGCCCACCAAGGCGACGAUCCGUAGCUGGUCUGAGAGGAUGAUCAGCCACACUGGAACUGAGACACGGUCCAGAGUCCUACGGGAGGCAGCAGUGGGGAAUAUUGGACGAUGGGCGCAAGCCUGAUCCAGCCAUACCGCGUGGGUGAAGAAGGCCUUCGGGUUGUAAAGCCCUUUUGUUGGGAAAGAAAAGCAGCAGGUUAAUACCCCGCUGUUCUGACGGUACCCAAAGAAUAAGCACCGGCUAACUUCGUG
rnacentral:rRNA from 1 species